AUUGAACGCUGGCGGCAUGCCUUACACAUGCAAGUCGAACGGCAGCACGGGUGCUUGCCCCUGGUGGCGAGUGGCGAACGGGUGAGUAAUACAUCGGAACAUGUCCUGUAGCGGGGGAUAGCCCGGCGAAAGCCGGAUUAAUACCGCAUACGAUCUACGGAUGACAGCGGGGGACCUUCGGGCCUCGCGCUAUAGGGUUGGCCGAUGGCUGAUUAGCUAGUUGGUGGGGUAAAGGCCUACCAAGGCGACGAUCAGUAGCUGGUCUGAGAGGAUGACCAGCCACACUGGGACUGAGACACGGCCCAGACUCCUACGGGAGGCAGCAGUGGGGAAUUUUGGACAAUGGGCGAAAGCCUGAUCCAGCAAUGCCGCGUGUGUGAAGAAGGCCUUCGGGUUGUAAAGCACUUUUGUCCGGAAAGAAAUCCUUGGCCCUAAUACGGUCGGGGGAUGACGGUACCGGAAGAAUAAGCACCGGCUAACUACGUG
rnacentral:rRNA from 1 species